UACGAAGGGUGCAAGCGUUGUUCGGAAUUAUUGGGCGUAAAGCGCGCGCAGGCGGGCGAAUAAGCCAGAUGUGAAAUCUCGGGGCUCAACUCCGAAAGUGCGUCUGGAACUGUUUGUCUAGGAUAUUGGAGAGGGAGUUGGAAUAUCACAUGUAGGGGUAAAAUCCGUAGAGAUGUGAUGGAACACCGGAGGCGAAGGCGAACUCCUGGCCAAAAAUCGACGCUGAGGCGCGAAAGCGUGGGGAGCAAACAGG
rnacentral:rRNA from 1 species